rnacentral:rRNA from 1 species
GAUGAACGCUGGCGGCGUGCCUAAUACAUGCAAGUCGAGCGAACGGACGAGAAGCUUGCUUCUCUGAUGUUAGCGGCGGACGGGUGAGUAACACGUGGAUAACCUACCUAUAAGACUGGGAUAACUUCGGGAAACCGGAGCUAAUACCGGAUAAUAUUUUGAACCGCAUGGUUCAAAAGUGAAAGACGGUCUUGCUGUCACUUAUAGAUGGAUCCGCGCUGCAUUAGCUAGUUGGUAAGGUAACGGCUUACCAAGGCAACGAUGCAUAGCCGACCUGAGAGGGUGAUCGGCCACACUGGAACUGAGACACGGUCCAGACUCCUACGGGAGGCAGCAGUAGGGAAUCUUCCGCAAUGGGCGAAAGCCUGACGGAGCAACGCCGCGUGAGUGAUGAAGGUCUUCGGAUCGUAAAACUCUGUUAUUAGGGAAGAACAUAUGUAUAAGUAACUGUGCACAUCUUGACGGUACCUAAUCAGAAAGCCACGGCUAACUACGUGCCAGCAGCCGCGGUAAUACGUAGGUGGCAAGCGUUAUCCGGAAUUAUUGGGCGUAAAGCGCGCGUAGCGGUUUUUUAAGUCUGAUGUGAAAGCCCACGGCUCAACCGUGGAGGGUCAUUGGAAACUGGAAAACUUGAGUGCAGAAGAGGAAAGUGGAAUUCCAUGUGUAGCGGUGAAAUGCGCAGAGAUAUGGAGGAACACCAGUGGCGAAGGCGACUUUCUGGUCUGUAACUGACGCUGAUGUGCGAAAGCGUGGGGAUCAAACAGGAUUAGAUACCCUGGUAGUCCACGCCGUAAACGAUGAGUGCUAAGUGUUAGGGGGUUUCCGCCCCUUAGUGCUGCAGCUAACGCAUUAAGCACUCCGCCUGGGGAGUACGACCGCAAGGUUGAAACUCAAAGGAAUUGACGGGGACCCGCACAAGCGGUGGAGCAUGUGGUUUAAUUCGAAGCAACGCGAAGAACCUUACCAAAUCUUGACAUCCUUUGACAACUCUAGAGAUAGAGCUUUCCCCUUCGGGGGACAAAGUGACAGGUGGUGCAUGGUUGUCGUCAGCUCGUGUCGUGAGAUGUUGGGUUAAGUCCCGCAACGAGCGCAACCCUUAAGCUUAGUUGCCAUCAUUAAGUUGGGCACUCUAAGUUGACUGCCGGUGACAAACCGGAGGAAGGUGGGGAUGACGUCAAAUCAUCAUGCCCCUUAUGAUUUGGGCUACACACGUGCUACAAUGGACAAUACAAAGGGCAGCGAAACCGUGAGGUCAAGCAAAUCCCAUAAAGUUGUUCUCAGUUCGGAUUGUAGUCUGCAACUCGACUACAUGAAGCUGGAAUCGCUAGUAAUCGUAGAUCAGCAUGCUACGGUGAAUACGUUCCCGGGUCU